CGGCUCAGUAACACGUGGACAACCUACCCUAUGGAGGGGGAUAACCCCGGGAAACUGGGGAUAAUACCCCAUAGACUAUAGAUGCUGGAAUGCUUUGUAGUUGAAAGGUCCGCCGCCAUAGGAUGGGUCUGCGGCCGAUUAGGUUGUUGUUGGGGUAACGGCCCAACAAGCCUGUAAUCGGUACGGGUUGUGGGAGCAAGAGCCCGGAGAUGGAUUCUGAGACACGAAUCCAGGCCCUACGGGGCGCAGCAGGCGCGGAAACUUUACAAUGCGGGAAACCGUGAUAAGGGAACUCCGAGUGCCCGUAAAAUCGGGCUGUCCAUCUGUUUAAAUAACAGGUGAAGAAAGGGCCGGGCAAGACCGGUGCCAGCCGCCGCGGUAAUACCGGCGGCUCGAGUGGUGGCCACUAUUACUGGGCUUAAAGCGUUCGUAGCUGGUCUGUUAAGUCUCUGGGGAAAUCUACUGGCUUAACCAAUAGGCGUCUCAGGGAUACUGGCAGACUAGGGACCGGGAGAGGUGAGAGGUACUCCAGGGGUAGGAGUGAAAUCCUGUAAUCCUUGGGGGACCACCUGUGGCGAAGGCGUCUCACCAGAACGGCUCCGACAGUGAGGGACGAAAGCUGGGGGAGCA
rnacentral:rRNA from 1 species